GAGUGACUAUUUCCUGCAGAGAGGCUCAACUGCUGAACGCAUCACAUGUAAACAACGUAGUAAACUAUAAUCUAGUAGUUCUGCAGCAAAACUGUGGAUUAAAAAGGGAUACAAAUUAAUGUAUGGAAGAUUCAUGCAACGCUGACGCAUGCGUAAAGUGGAUAGAUCGACACAUUACGCGCACCUUUACCUCGAUGAAGGUGCGCAGUGAAAAGAAAGAGUCACUGGAGGAAACACCCCGGAAGUGUCAUCGUGCAGAGAAGCAGCACGGCACCGGUGUGGAAUAACUUGUUGACGUUUUCUCUACAAACAACCUGCGCAUUCUGAUAUCCCGUCAACAUUGAUGAGUGCAGAGUUUCUGGAACAAAUCUGAGGACGGCCGGGUUUCUUCACUUCUGCUCUUCUUCCUCCACUCGUGUGGCUCACCUGGUCGGGCAGGCGAACAGUGAGCCAGGAAGAAUCCUUGAUGCCAGGGUUCGAAUCCCCCCUGCGGCUGCGGUGCUGCUUUUCAGGACCAAAAGAAGCAAAAAUCUGAAAAAAAAGCAAAAAAAAAGAUUUUCUGCUUUUUAAAAUCUUGAUCUACUCGUUCUGCUCUCCUACGCCACCUACCUCUCUUAUCCUACCUCGCCUACUCUUCGCUACCUGCCUCUCUUUAUCCUACGCUACCUGCCUCUCCUAUGCGACACUCCUACCCUACGCUUACUGCCUCACUUACUGUCUCAACUACCUGCCUUACUUACUGUGCACUACCUGCCUCACUUACUAUGAACUACCUGUCUCAUCUACUGUGCACUACCUGCCUCAUCUACUGUGCACUACCUGCCUCACUUAGUAUGAACUACCUGCCUCACUUAGUAUGCCUAACUCAGCCACUCCGAGUCUCGAACCCCGUACAUGCUAAGCAGCAGACCUGAACUCGACACGGGCGCCUUAAUGCCGAGAACAGACCCAAUCCGGCCACCAACACAUGUACAUAAAGACCUGUGCUCCGGGCGCAUUUAUCUUCUUCAUUUUGAGUAAAGCACUUUAAAAAUCACUAUAGCUCACGAGGACUCGAACACACAACCUCAGACUUUCUAACCCGUCUUCUAUCCCUCUGAGCCAAUUGACCAGUGACUGUAGCAUCUCAUUUGGUAAAGUCAUUCUCUACUUUGGAUGGUUAGACUGUGAAAACAGUGUAAACUGUCAAAUGCAUGGACCUCAUGAGGAUCGAACCCAAGACUCCUGCUCACCUGAGCAGCGUUGUAUCCCACUGAGCUAUUUCAUUUGUGGAAGUCUCAGGUUGUUUGGUAAAUUAUGUAACAAUGAAAAUGUAAAAAAGGAAAUAACAAGUUAUUGUGCAGUGCAUCCAAUAAAACUAUCCUUGUAAGUAUGUCAUACAA